rnacentral:rRNA from 1 species
UACGUAGGGUGCGAGCGUUGUCCGGAAUUACUGGGCGUAAAGAGCUCGUAGGUGGUUUGUCGCGUUGUUCGUGAAAUCUCACGGCUUAACUGUGAGCGUGCGGCGAUACGGGCAGACUGGAGUACUGCAGGGGAGACUGGAAUUCCUGGUGUAGCGGUGGAAUGCGCAGAUAUCAGGAGGAACACCGGUGGCGAAGGCGGGUCUCUGGGCAGUAACUGACGCUGAGGAGCGAAAGCGUGGGGAGCGAACAGG